UUUUCGGCCGAGAGGAAAGUCCGGGCAGCUCGAGCCACCAUGCUUCCUAACGGGAAGAGGCCUCGAGGGUAACCGAGAGGUCAUAGAAAGCGCCACAGAAAACAUACCGCUGACCAUGCAAGCUCUGCAUGAAGCAAGGGUGAAAACGCGGGGUAAGAGCCCACGACGUGUCCCGGCGACGGGCGCGAUGGCAAGCCUCAUGGGCUGAAAGACCAUGUAUACCGACACGCCUUCGGGCAGCAGGCCGGCUCGCCUGCACUGUCGGGGGGUAGGUUGAUAGAGACCGUCGGCGACGGCGGCCCCAGAUUAAUGAUAGGACACGACAGAACCCGGCUUACAGGCUAC
rnacentral:RNase_P_RNA from 1 species